GCAAGUCGAGGGGCAGCAUUAGUACUUGUACUAGAUGGCGACCGGCGCACGGGUGCGUAACGCGUAUGCAACCUACCCACUACAGGGGGAUAGCUUCCGGAAACGGAAAUUAAUACCCCAUAACACAUAAAUGCCACAUGGUAUUAAUGUUAAAGAUUUAUCGGUAGUGGAUGGGCAUGCGUUAGAUUAGAUAGUUGGUGAGGUAACGGCUCACCAAGUCUACGAUCUAUAGGGGUUCUGAGAGGAUGAUC
rnacentral:rRNA from 1 species